rnacentral:rRNA from 1 species
UUGAACGCUGGCGGUAGGCUUAACACAUGCAAGUCGUGCGAGAAAGUAUCUUCGGAUAUGAGUAGAGCGGCGGACGGGUGAGUAACGCGUAGGAAUCUACCUAGUAGAAGGGGAUAGCCCGAGGAAACUCGGAUUAAUACCGUAUACCUCCUUAGGGAGAAAGAGGGCCUCUCUUGAUGCUCUCGCUAUUAGAUGAGCCUGCGUAAGAUUAGCUUGUUGGUGAGGUAAUGGCUCACCAAGGCUACGAUCUUUAGCUGGUCUGAGAGGACGAUCAGCCACAUUGGGACUGAGACACGGCCCAGACUCCUACGGGAGGCAGCAGUGGGGAAUAUUGGACAAUGGGCGCAAGCCUGAUCCAGCCAUACCGCGUGUGUGAAGAAGGCCUUCGGGUUGUAAAGCACUUUAAGCAGGGAGAAAAAGUUAUAAGUUAAUACCUUAUAACCGUGAUGUUACCUGCAGAAUAAGCACCGGCUA